UAUUGCUUCGGCAAUACACAUACUAAAAUUAGAACGAUACAGAGAAGACUAGCAUAGCCCCUGCACGACGAUGACACGAAUUCGUGAAGCAUUCCGUAUUUUA
rfam:Octopus bimaculoides Scaffold3391_contig_178, whole genome shotgun sequence.